rnacentral:rRNA from 1 species
CAUCAGUGAAAUACUACCCGUCGGUGACUGCGACUCUCACUCCGGGAGGAGGACACCGGUAGCCGGGCAGUUUGACUGGGGCGGUACGCGCUCGAAAAGAUAUCGAGCGCGCCCUAAGGCUAUCUCAGCCGGGACAGAGACCCGGCGAAGAGUGCAAGAGCAAAAGAUAGCUUGACAGUGUUCUUCCCAACGAGGAACGCUGACGCGAAAGCGUGGUCUAGCGAACCAAUUAGCCUGCUUGAUGCGGGCAAUUGAUGACAGAAAAGCUACCCUAGGGAUAACAGAGUCGUCACUCGCAAGAGCACAUAUCGACCGAGUGGCUUGCUACCUCGAUGUCGGUUCCCUCCAUCCUGCCCGUGCAGAAGCGGGCAAGGGUGAGGUUGUUCGCCUAUUAAAGGAGGUCGUGAGCUGGGUUUAGACCGUCGUGAGACAGGUCGGCUGCUAUCUAUUGGGUGUGUAAUGGUGUCUGACGGGAACGAUCGUAUAGUACGAGAGGAACUACGAUUGGCCGCCACUGGUGUACCGGUCGUUCGAGAGAGCGC